AUUGAACGCUGGCGGAAUGCUUUACACAUGCAAGUCGAACGGCAGCACGGGGGCAACCCUGGUGGCGAGUGGCGAACGGGUGAGUAAUACAUCGGAACGUGCCCAGUCGUGGGGGAUAACGUAGCGAAAGUUACGCUAAUACCGCAUACGAUCUACGGAUGAAAGCGGGGGACCGUAAGGCCUCGCGCGAUUGGCGCGGCCGAUGUCAGAUUAGGUAGUUGUGGAGGUAAAGGGUCACCAAGCCGACGAUCUGUAGCUGGUCUGCGAGGACGACCAGCCACACUGGGACUGAGACACGGCCCAGACUCCUACGGGAGGCAGCAGUGGGGAAUUUUGGACAAUGGGCGCAAGCCUGAUCCAGCCAUUCCGCGUGCAGGACGAAGGCCUUCGGGUUGUAAACUGCUUUUGUACGGAACGAAAAGGCUCUGGUUAAUACCUGGGGCUCAUGACGGUACCGUAAGAAUAAGCACCGGCUAACUACGUGCCAGCCGCCGCAGUAA
rnacentral:rRNA from 1 species